AGUGAACGCUGGCGGUAGGCCUAACACAUGCAAGUCGAACGGCAGCACAGUAAGAGCUUGCUCUUACGGGUGGCGAGUGGCGGACGGGUGAGGAAUACAUCGGAAUCUACUUUUUCGUGGGGGAUAACGUAGGGAAACUUACGCUAAUACCGCAUCCGCCCUACGGGUGAAGGCAGGGGAUCUUCGGACCUGUCGCGAUUGAAUGAGCCGAUGUCGAAUUAGCUAGUUGGGGGGGUAAAGGCCCACCAAGGCGACGAUCCGUAGCUGGUCUGAGAGGAUGAUCAGCCACACUGGAACUGAGACACGGUCCAGACUCCUACGGGAGGCAGCAGUGGGGAAUAUUGGACAAAGGGCGCAAGCCUGAUCCAGCCAUACCGCGUGGGUGAAGAAGGCCUUCGGGUUGUAAAGCCCUUUUGUUGGGAAAGAAAAGCAGCAGGUUAAUACCCCGCUGUUCUGACGGUACCCAAAGAAUAAGCACCGGCUAACUUCGUG
rnacentral:rRNA from 1 species